CCCGGUUUUAAGCCUUUUUAGAACGACCUCAGGGAUUCUCUAGCUUUCCUGAGAUGCAAAGACUGCCCAUGGCCUCUGCUAAGCUGAGGGUGUCAGGAGGGGAAGGGCAGCAACAAUAAAGGAUUGAGCUCUGGGAGAAACAGGCUCAUCCAUGUGGAGACCCAGGAGCAGGCGGUUCCAGACGGAGCUGGCGGAGGGAGGCGGCCAGGGCAGAGAGCCCAGGACGAGGACGCGUCCCUGCCACACAAAAAGCAACUAUUCAAAACCACCCAGGGAGUUCUCUCUUAUUGAAAAGUCCUUGAUUCUUCCCUUUUUGCAGCAGAACUCACGAACAAGGGCCCCGUCUUAUUAAUGGGGUGAUGGAGGGGCCCGGGAGGGAGGGUCCUGCUGCUCUGGAAGGUGGCUGAGCCCGCCCCACAAGUCAUUAGGAGCUGGUAACUAAGGGAUUGGAGGAAGAAUUCUUGGAAAACACCUCCAAGACUCAGUUUGCAAUCAGUUUCUCAGCUGUGACAUUUAAUAGAAGAACUUCAAAGAUGUCAUUGCCUCAGAUCAGUGAAAGCCAGAGUACCAGGAUCAGAACCUAGGUAGCUGCCCUCUGGAAGCUCUGCCCUGCCAUCAAAGCUUCUUCCUGUACCUCCAUCCCUCAUCCUGGUAAGGACACCUCGCCUCACCUCCCAGCCUUGCUGGGUCCUUUGGAGCCCAGACUGGACAAGGGAGCCCCCCUGGGAGCUCUGGCAUCACUAUCCAUGUCCAGCUGUGCUGCAGGAUUGUCACAGUGACCGCUGGGUGACAGCAAUCAAGCUGGAAGCUUUGGACUGGUAGCUGGAGUCCAAAUCUAGCCUGCAAGGAGUUGCUGAGUUAGAUGACGGCACAAACAAACCAGGCCGUGCCAUGGAAACAUCUGAUACCUGAUGCCUAAGGCAGUGAGUGGGUGAUAAGUUCCCUGGCUUCAUCCUGUGUACCUGGGGCCAGGAUAUGCAGGCACACCCCACCAGGACUGGUGGCCCCGCACUAUGCAAACAUGAAUUCAUCUCUAAUUCCUCUUCCAAGGUAAUAUAUUCUCACUUAAAAAAAUAGGGUCUCAGUUAUUAAAUUGCCUAGGUUGGGUUUAAACUUGUGAUCUUCCUGCCUCAGCCUCCUAAAAUGCUGGGAUCAUAGACAUAUGCCAUCCUGCUGGCUCAUGUUAGCAUUUUAAGCAGGGCCUUCAAUGCUCUGACCAGUGGUGGUGAUGAGGCAUUACAGGCCCUGGGGAACACAGGAGAGGGAUAUUUAGAGGAAUAGCAGGUUUCAAGGUCACCUGAGAGAUGGCCACUUUCACGGAUAGCCUGGUGCAGGCAAGGUCUCUGCCUGCUUCAGUGUCAAGGAAUUUUGUGGAAUGAGUAGACCUCUCUCCCAAUUCUGCCCUUUGAGAACAGGUACAUGCUGCUCUUCCCACCCUAACUGCCCCUCUGGCUCCUCCUGACAUUAUUGGUUCCCAAAUCCUCUCCUUGGUCAAGCUUCCCCUAAGAAUGUGCGACUAGAUCCAACAAAUCUCACUGGAACCCAGUCCAACAGGAAUACUCCUUCCUUUUCCCCAAACACUCUACCUUUGAUAAUGUAACCUUAGGUGGGUCCAGUGAACCCAUCAGGCCCAGAUCAGGUCAGAUUGAGAUGAAGUCACCUGAACCCCAGAAUGUCCCCUAGAAAGACUAAAAGAUUACAGCAUGUCCCUCUCCCCCAAAACCAGCAAGCCCAAGGCCCCUACAGAGCAACACAAAGGUGCCCUAAGCAGAUGGACAGAUGUACAAACAAGCCGCUGGGAUCCCAAGGCAGAAGGGGGAAACUGAUGCUCAAUGAAGCAGAAAAAGCCCUUGCUCACGGCCAGUGCUCUGUUUCUGGGUGUGGCUGCCUAUAUCGAGGUCUCUUCCUUUCAGGCUGGGUGGCUUACAGUGUAUAGAAGAGGGCAGGAACAUAGUAAAAGCCAAAUCUCCACAAAAGCUCAGGUGAACUGGUUCCCCGGAACAUCCACACUCUUUGGAACCCAGGCAACACCUGCCCCUGGGCAUAGGCUAAGGGUCAUCUGGUGCUUCUAUAAUGGCACCACUGCAAUUCUACCACAGUAGUCCUUGUAGACUUGAUGAGCUCAGCAAUGA